AGACCCCUGUGAUGCCCAGCACUGGGCUCUGCCCAUCUGUGAGGACAUGGUGCCCACCCGGGGUCU
ensembl:snoRNA small nucleolar RNA, C/D box 88B